AACAGACUCCGACCCAGCACAGUGUUUAUGUGGGUCAAAAAUAGGAAAACGGGCCGGGCGCGGUGGCUCACGCCUGUAAUCCCAGCACUUUGGGAGGCCGAGGCGGGUGGAUCACGAGGUCAAGACAUCAAGACCAUCCUGGUCAUUAUGGUGAAACCCCGUCUCUACUAAAAAUACAAAAAAUUAGCUGGGCAUGGUGGUGCGUGCCUGUAAUCCGAGCUACUCAGGAGGCUGAGGCGGGAGAAUUGCCUGAACCCAGGAGGCGGAGGUUGCGGUGAGCCGAGAUCGCACCAUUGCACUCCAGCCUGGGUAACAAGAGUGAAACUCUGUCUCAAAAAAAAAAAAAGGAAAACUGUGUCCGGGCGCGGCAGAGGCGGGAAGUUUUCUUCAGGCCAGGAGUUCAAGAGCAGCCUGGCAACGUAGUGUGACCCCAUUUCUGUAGUCCCACCUCAGCCUCCCACCUACUUGAAGCCCAAGGUUCAAGGCUGCAAUGAGCUCUGAUCCUACCACAGCACUCCAGCCUGCGAGACUGAGGCAUGAGCCUAUUCUAUAUGUGAAGAUUUACAACUUGAUAAACCAGCUUCAGGAGAAAGAGAGGCAUGGAAUCAGCAGAGCCCUGGCUGCAUGACAAGGAAGGUGAUAUGAUCCUGCAGCCCUUAUACAGCGUCCUGACCUGACGCCAUGAGAAGCACACGCCGGCACCUGCCAAGAUGCUCAACCUGAAUCUAAUCAUGGGGAAACAUUGGACGAACCCAGAUGAUGCAGGACAUUCUCCAUGACGGCUAGCCUGGAAGUCUAAGAAACAGCAGUGCUGUGAAAGACAGAAAUAAAACAGGAAAAAGGUGGAACAGCCCCAGUGGCUCAUGCUCCAGUGGUUCAUACCAUAGUAGCUCCUGCUCCAGUGGCUCAUGCUCCAGUGGCUCGCACUCCAGAGGCUCAUACUCCAGUGGCUCACACUCCAGUGGUUCAUGCUCCAGUGGCUCCUGCUCCAGUGACUCAUCCCAGCACUUUGGGAGGCAGAGGUGAGUGGAUUACUUGAGCCCAGGAGUUCAAGAUGAGCCUGGACCACAUGAGAUGAUGGGGGCAACAGCAGUGACCACAACUUUGAGAUAGUGCAUUUGUUUUUUGUAUUUUUUGAGAUGGGGGUCUCAGUCUGUCACCCAGGUUGGAGUGCAGUGGCGCCAUCUCAGCCCAUUGCAAUCUUGGCCUCUUGAGUUUCAGUGAUUCUUCUGUCUCAGCCUCCCCCCGAGAGUAGCCCGGAUUAUAGGAGCCCGCCACCACACCUGGCUAAUUUUUGUAUUUUUAGUAGAGAUGGGUUUUCAUCAUGUCGGCCAGGCUGGUCUUGAACUCCUGACCUCGGGUGAUCCACCCGCCUCGUCCUCCCAAAGUGCUGGUAUGACAGGCAUGAGCCACCAUGCCUGGCCGGGCCGAGGUGGUGGAUCUGCAAGAGAAACUCGAUUCACUUGUUCAUGGCUCCCUGCCGGUUCAGGACAUGGAUGAUGUGGAGAAGCUGGUGCCUCUCUAUAGGAAAAAAACCCAAAAAAGUAGAACAAUGGCCAACAAAGUUAAAGGAUCACGAGAUCCAGUGCUGAGACAAGGCAGAGGAGGGGCUGAAAUGGCCGUCAGAGGGGAGAGCCCCAGGCAGCAGGGACUUUUGCAAGUGUGUAGGGAGAAAUUAGAAGUUCCAAUGAAGAAAAAAAGUGUGAGGUCUUUGGGGCCAGCUUUCAGCUGGUCUAAAGCUGAAUUAUAGGAAGAAGGUGAGGGAGGCAGAGACCAAGUGUGGGAGGACCUCCUGUGUCAUGCCAGCAGUCUGGACUCCACCCCGUAGCUGACAGGGAGCCAGAAAAGGGCUUGGAGCAAACACGUGGCACAUUUGUGGGUAAGGCACGUCUUCCUUGUGGCCUUGAGGGAUGGACUGAAGGGGGUGGAAAGUGGGAGCAGGACAGCCUCUUCAAUGGUCAGGUGAGAGGUGGAUGGGUGGCAGGGGCUGCGGAGAAGGUGGCUAAGUUGAGCUCCAGUCCCCAAAGGGUGCUGUGGGGCAGAGGAACUUCCAGCUAACAAGUCACUUAGCUUCUUAGAUCAGUUUCCUCAUCCUUCAAAUGAAGGAAACAUGAAUCAUUGAUAAGAUGUCCCCUCUUUCCAAAAGCGUGAAAUGAUUAUCAGGCCUCUUUCCACAGGCAGUGGGACCUCACCUCAACCCUGGAAAAGAACUGGGAAGUGUUUUUCAGCCAGGUGCGGAGGGAGGGCCACAUGGGCCUCCCAACCCAUCCCCAGGGCCCCUCUCCAGCUCCUCUUUCUGGUCCUCCCCAGGGGAAGGUGCAGGCUGAAAAGAGAAGAGGGAGUAGAAGGUCCUCAUAGACACACAGCCCCCUGGGGCCCCACCAGUCCGAGGCCCCUGCAGCCCCGUGGGACUCGGUCACCGCCGGACCCGAGAGUACAGCUUCGAGGCCCUGGCGCCUCCGGCACCGCUGCUUAGAGCUGUCACCCUUGACUGUUUUUCCCCUGGAAAAGCUUUAGUGAGAAGAGGAGAGAAGGCUGACUGGGGCCAACAAAAAACACAAAACCCCGAAGCGUUUUCUCCGGAUUCGGAUUAAACUGCUCGGAGAGUAGUUAAGUUACUUCAAGGCAUGAUCAACCACUGUGCUCCAGCCUGGACCAUAAGAGCGAGGCCUUGCCUCAAAACACAAAAUCAAUCAUCAACCCGCGCAGGACGACCAGCCACGUCGCCUUCGGUCCCUACGUCUUCCUCCCACCCAGCAGGCGAUGCCCUGCUCGGUUGCAGGGAUCGGGGCGGCCAGAGGUCCUAGGUGGACGCGCCCGCCCCCGCCGCGGGGAGCCGCUAACGUCAAGGAGGCGAAACCCAGAAGCGGCCGCAGCAGACGAAGAAGGGAACCGGCGCGAGGGCGGAAGGAACUCGGUUUCUCUUUCUCCCGGG